CCUGGUGGUUCUAGCGAAGCGGCCCCACCCGUUCCCAUCCCGAACACGGAAGUGAAACGCCUCAGCGCCUACGAUACUGCU
rnacentral:rRNA from 1 species